UAGGGAAUCUUCGGCAAUGGACGGAAGUCUGACCGAGCAACGCCGCGUGAGUGAAGAAGGUUUUCGGAUCGUAAAGCUCUGUUGUAAGAGAAGAACGAGUGUGAGAGUGGAAAGUUCACACUGUGACGGUAUCUUACCAGAAAGGGACGGCUAACUACGUGCCAGCAGCCGCGGUAAUACGUAGGUCCCGAGCGUUGUCCGGAUUUAUUGGGCGUAAAGCGAGCGCAGGCGGUUAGAUAAGUCUGAAGUUAAAGGCUGUGGCUUAACCAUAGUACGCUUUGGAAACUGUUUAACUUGAGUGCAAGAGGGGAGAGUGGAAUUCCAUGUGUAGCGGUGAAAUGCGUAGAUAUAUGGAGGAACACCGGUGGCGAAAGCGGCUCUCUGGCUUGUAACUGACGCUGAGGCUCGAAAGCGUGGGGAGCAAACAGGAUUAGAUACCCUGGUAGUCCACGCCGUAAACGAUGAGUGCUAGGUGUUAGACCCUUUCCGGGGUUUAGUGNCGCAGCUAACGCAUUAAGCACUCCGCCUGGGGAGUACGACCGCAAGGUUG
rnacentral:rRNA from 1 species